rfam:Acidobacteria bacterium RIFCSPLOWO2_12_FTLL_60_22 rifcsplowo2_12_scaffold_21545, whole genome shotgun sequence.
GGGCGCGUGGUGUAAUGGGAGCACGGGUUCCUGUCAAGUUCCAGGUGUCGGUUCGAUUCCGACCGCGUCCA